CCUACGGGAGGCAGCAGUAGGGAAUCUUCGACAAUGGGCGAAAGCCUGAUCCAGCAACGCCGCGUGUGUGAAGAAGGUCUUCGGAUUGUAAAACACUUUUGUUAGAGAAGAAAGUGCGUUUGAGUAUCUCGUCACGUUUCGACGGUAUCUAACCAGUAAGCCCCGGCUAACUACGUGCCAGCAGCCGCGGUAAUACGUAGGGUGCAAGCGUUAUCCGGAUUUAUUGGGCGUAAAGGGAGCGCAGGCGGUCUUUUAAGUUUGAUGUGAAAGCCCCGGGCUUAACCUGGGUAGGUCAUACGUGACUGGGAGACUAGAGUGCGUAAGAGGAGGGUGGAACUCCAGGUGUAGCGGUGAAAUGCGUAGAUAUAUGGAAGAACACCGAUGGCGAAGGCAGCUCUCUGGUCCGUAACUGACGCUGAGGUUCGAAAGCGUGGGGAGCAAACAGGAUUAGAUACCCUUGUAGUC
rnacentral:rRNA from 1 species